UGCCGAAGCCUGGUGCCCGCCGCGACUCUAAACAAUGCGCCCCAACAGUCCACCCGUGGUCUCCACGGGCGGGCGACGUCACCGGUCUGCUGGGACACCACCAGGUGGAUCAGCAGUCAAUCGUCGGCCCCGGCCGCGGUUGAUGCACAGAUUAGCGAGUGACGGCCACCCGCGCCCGGGUGAUCAAGAUAUAAUCGGUCCCCAUCGUGACGAUGGCGGGGCAACGUUCCGUAGGUGAACCUGCGGAAGGAUCAUUACCGAGUUGGGGUCCCCCCGGGGGCCCAAUCUCCAACCCUUGUCUAUACCACCGCGUCGCUUCGGCGGGCGCGCUCCCCCGCGGAGCCGCCGGGGAUCCCUAUCCCGGGCCAGCGCCCGCCGACCGCGACCGCAGUCUUGAAGUACAAUCACACAAAACUUUCAACAACGGAUCUCUUGGCUCUG
rnacentral:misc_RNA from 1 species